rnacentral:misc_RNA from 1 species
UACGAAGGGUGCAAGCGAUGUUCGGAUUUAUUGGGCGUAAAGCGCGCGCAGGCGGAUGAUUAAGCCAGGUGUGAAAUCUCGGGGCUCAACCCCGAAAUUGCGACUGGAACUGGUUAUCUAGAAUCUCGGAGGGGGAUGGGGAAUUUCGCAUGUAGGGGUAAAAUCCGUAGAGAUGCGAAGGAACACUUGUGGCGAAGGCGCCAUCCUGGACGAGAAUUGACGCUGAGGCGCGAAAGCGUGGGGAGCAAACAGG